UACGUAGGCAGCGAGCGUUGUUCGGAAUUACUGGGCGUAAAGAGUGUGUAGGCGGUGCUCUAAGUUCGGUGUGAAAUCUCCCGGCUUAACUGGGAGGGUGCGCCGGAAACUGGAGUGCUCGAGCGUGAGAGAGGAAAGCGGAAUUCCUGGUGUAGCGGUGAAAUGCGUAGAUAUCAGGAGGAACACCUGCGGUGUAGACGGCUUUCUGGACCAUUGCUGACGCUGAGACACGAAAGCGUGGGUAGCAAACAGG
rnacentral:rRNA from 1 species